CAGUUCAGCCCUGCUUUUUCCAGGACAUCUCCAUGGAGAUCCCCCAAGAAUUUCAGAAGACUGUAUCCACCAUGUACUACCUCUGGAUGUUGGCUGGAUCUCCGCUCUGGUGGUGCCGAAGGGCAACACAGCAGUAUCCGUGCUCAUGCUGCUGGUCGCCCUGCUCUUCACUGGCAUUGCUGUGCUAGGAAUUGUCAUGCUGAAACGGAUCCACUCCUUAUACCGCCGCACAGGUGCCAGCUUUCAGAAGGCCCAGCAAGAAUUUGCUGCUGGUGUCUUCUCCAACCCUGCGGUGCGAACCGCAGCUGCCAAUGCAGCCGCUGGGGCUGCUGAAAAUGCCUUCCGGGCCCCGUGACCCCUGACUGGGAUGCCCUGGCCCUGCCACUUGAGGGAGCUGACUUAGCUCCCGUCCCUAAGGUCUCUGGGACUUGGAGAGACAUCACUACCUGAUGGCUCCUCCGUAGUGCUCCCAAUCCUAUGGCCAUGACUGCUGAACCUGAGAGGCGUGUGGGGAGUCCACUGUGACCUAGUCCCCCCAUCAGGCCACACUGCUGCCACCUCUCACACGCCCCAUCCCAGCUUCCCUCUGCUGUGCCACGGCUGUUGCUUCGGUUAUUUAAAUAAAAAGAAAGUGGAACUGGAACUGACA
rnacentral:sRNA from 1 species